ensembl:lncRNA
CGGAAGUGCUCCAGGACGCUAGGGGCAGUGUUGAGCUUUUGUUACCUAGUAACUACACAAGCCAUGAAGUACCAAUGACCGGAUUUGGGCUGUAGGCCGCAUUUUAAGGCCGAUUACAUCACAGCGACACGACGAAGGCUGUCCCAAUUCAAAGGCUGCUCCAAAUGCGGCCCUCAAAUGCGUCCUUAAUUUCCCUGAAUUUUAAGGAUGGGUCGGUGUAGCCUUCAUGGCCCAACAUACCCCAGAUUUCAUAGCGCGGCGGUGGUGUGGAUAAUUUUGCCGAAAAAACGGCGGAAGCCGAGCGGCCGAAGAGUAAACUUUCAGAAAUCAACACAGCCCUGCCCUCCAGCACUAUCAGCAGCAGGAGCAGCAGCAACCCCUCAACAGCAACAUUUUACCCAUCAGUGUCUCCUGAGUCUGACCCAGGUUAGGGGUUCAUGUCAGAGCUGGAGGAUGAGACCAACAUGGAGCUGGAGCUGGAGCAGAGCACGCCACACUCACCAAAUCUCCCUCCUUCACCUCCAGUGUGGAUGGAAUCAGAGUCGGUGAAGGAGGAUCUUGUGGUGGGAAGAAAUAUUUUCAUCAGUCAGUAAAGAAAUAAG